rnacentral:rRNA from 1 species
AUACGGAGGAUCCGAGCGUUAUCCGGAUUUAUUGGGUUUAAAGGGAGCGUAGGUGGAUUGUUAAGUCAGUUGUGAAAGUUUGCGGCUCAACCGUAAAAUUGCAGUUGAAACUGGCAGUCUUGAGUACAGUAGAGGUGGGCGGAAUUCGUGGUGUAGCGGUGAAAUGCUUAGAUAUCACGAAGAACUCCGAUUGCGAAGGCAGCGCACUAGACUGUUACUGACACUGAUGCUCGAAAGUGUGGGUAUCAAACAGGAUUAGAUACCCUGGUAGUCCACACAGUAAACGAUGAAUACUCGCUGUUUGCGAUAUACAGUAAGCGGCCAAGCGAAAGCAUUAAGUAUUCCAUCUGGGGAGUACGCCGGCAACGGUGAAACUCAAAUGAAUUGACGGGG